GCCACUAGACCAACAUGCUUCCAAACAUUUUGAAAAACUUUGAAUAUUUUUCAAGCAGGCAAUAUGUUUUGUUUGUGCUUUCUUGUUGUGACCUGCUUGUGUGUGUAUAUAGUAUCACAUUGCUUGGAGAAGAUGCUUGUAUGUUUUUCUUUUUUUUUCUUUUUUUUCGUAUUUCAGCAUGAAGGGGUGCUAACACCUGUACUCAGCGCUAUUAUAGUAUUACUAGGUUAAGCUGUGAUCAUGUUGCUAACCGACUGGUUUUUUCGUUAUUGGCAAGCAGACUGUCUUUGCUUUUCCUUAAGCGGCUAAUCUGUUUUGGCCUUUUAUGAAUCCUUUGUAUAUGGAAUUCUUAGGGUUUUGGUUUGAGGAAAUGACAUUGGUCGUGUUUGGUAUGAAAUUCGGUUUGUUAUUUUAUUUAUUAACUUGGUUCGAUUUUAUUUUCAAAUUCCCAUUUAAAAAGAAUUUUUUUUACAUUUCGGUUAUUGCCAGAUUUGCUCUUAAUUAUUUUAGUUUGUUGGUUUAACCAAUAUAAAAUAACCAAAAAUAUAGCCAAUAAUGAAUGUUUUGCGGAUCAGUUUUUCCAUCCAAACUAAAUUUAAGUUGUCCACAUAAAAUUAUGGUUCGGUUUCGCUUAGUUUAAUGGUCAGGCCCUAAACCAUGGAGUCUCCACUUUUUUUUUCAAGAUUUUUUUAAUGGAUUUUUUUUUGGUGUGGUUUUUAAUGAAAGAAGUCUUCAUCAUGGUUUCCAAACUAAACCAUGCUUGAUCGGUUUCCUUGAUCAAGCUUGAGGGGGAGUGUUGAGAUGAUAUGUACUUGUUGAGAGAAAUGCAGUGAAAUGUAUAAAGUGCAGCGUGGUGCAAUGAAGUGUAAGAAAAGAGAAACAUAUCAGGACAUGUUGGCAUAAACUCUCAAAUUCAACUAUCGAAUAAAAUCUCAUCGAAACCUGCAAAAAGUUAUUUAAUUUUGUUAGCAAUUGUACGAUAUCAAAUAAUUUAAUAUAAAAAUAAUUGGCUUUUAUUUUUUUUUUCUUAGUAGAGUCGUUAUUUCACUUUUAAAUGACUUUGUCUGUUUAUAUAGUAUGAAAAAUGACUUUGUCUGUUAAUAUGGUAUAAAAAUAAUUAUGGUAUUAUUAUUUUAUCAGCAAAAGUUUUGUUCUUUCCCUGUGCAUUUUAUAUAAAGAUUCAAAAAAUUCAUGAAAAUUUAUAUGAAUUGGUUCCUAUCAAAUUUAAUUAUAUUUCUUUAAAAUCUAAAAUGAAAGAAUUAGACAAAUACAUUAAAAUCAUCAUCAAAUCAUUUGAAAUACUUCAAAAUCUAUCAUUUAUGUCUUCAAUUGAAUUCUUUCAAAGUCAAUUAAAUUCUUGAAUCCAAUAUCAACUCCUAAAAGUUUCCUUUUUAAAAAAAAAUUAAGAUAGCAAAAAAAAGUAAAGUUAUGAUUGUUAUAUUCAAACUAGAAUUAGUAAUAAAAAACAAAUUUACCUUUUAUCUUCCUCUACGCAUUCCUUCCAAGUCUCAUCGCCACUAGACAACAUGCUUCCAAACAUUUUGAAAAACUUUGAAUAUUUUCCAAGCAGGCAAUAUGUUUAUUUGUGCUUUCUUGUUGUGACCUGCUUGUGUGUGUCUAUAUAGUAUCACAUUGCUUGGAGAAGAUGCUUGUAUGUUUUUCUUUUUUUUUCUUUUUUUUCUUCGUAUUUUAGCAUGACAUGGUGCUAACACCUGUACUCAGCUAUUAUAGUAUUAUGUUGUUUUUGCUAUAAUGUUACACUAAAUAAAAUUGAUAUUGUAGCAACGUGAUAUAUUUAAGCAGUUUAAUUAAAUAUAUUAUCUUUAUAAAAUUAUAAAUAAAUUGUAUUGUUACAUAGUCAUGAUAUUAGAUUGACUUAUCAUAAUUUUUAUGUGCUUUCUAAAUUGAUUUUAAAUGCAUAUAAGAAAAUAAUUUUGAAAAUUAUAAGAUAAACUGACAUGAUAAUAUAAUGGCCCAGAAAUUAUUUUCAGUUCCACCAAAGUAAUUAUAAUACGAGGUAUAAUAUUUUUGAUCAUUUGGUGACAUUUGAUUCCUUGAACUUGUUCUCUUCGAGAUGCUUCUCCUUCAGUUUGAUAUUAAGAUGUUUGAUAUUACAUGAUAUAAUGACAAUUUGUAUUAUAAUGCAUAAUAUGAUCUAAGAGGAUGAAUGUGAUAACAAUGCAACAAUAAGAACGAGUUGAAGUUUCAAGUGUAGAAGUUGAGAUGAUAAGUGUUGAUUCAUGAUGUUUGAUUUUAAGAAUUCCGACAAAAAAAGAGUGAGAAGCUCAUUUUGAAUUUCGAAAUGCAUUAAUCAAACAUUUAUGGGGUGAAUAUAUUAAUUCAAAUAAUUAGUAAAAGAUGUAUGUAUUAUUUUAGAUGUAAUGUAUUUUUGUUUAUAUGUUUUUAGUUAUUUUAAUUUCAUAUGUAUUUCAAAAUUAUUAUUAUACUGUGAUACAAAUAUAUUAAUUGUUGGGGAAUUGCCACUAAUACCACUUUCCUAAUACCACUUUUCAACUUUACACUUUUCAAAUUUACCUUUAAAAUUUUAGUAGGUAAAGUACCAUUAUACCCUUAUUUAAUCAAACAUAAACAUAAGUCUUCUCCCACAAGAAAUUGAAAAUUCAAAAACCCCUAAUCGAGAGAUUGAUUCCGGCGAUCGAGAGAUUCCAACGAGAGAUCGAUUCCGGCGAGAGAGAUCGAUUCCUUCGAGAGAGAUCGAUUCCGGCGAGAGAGAUCGAUUCCGGCGAGAGAGAUUCGAUCCGUCGAGAGAGUUUCGACGACUUCAGCCAUUUUCACCGGCGAGAUUUGAUUAUUCAGGCGACAUUGACGUCCGACGAGAUUUGGCGUAGACUACAAGCUCAAUCGAAUCAAUCUCUCUUCACGAACGUAACAAAGUGAUUUUCGUCUCUUUUCUGUAAUUUUUGCUUGGUUUCUCAAAAUCGAUCGGUUUCUGGGAAGGAGACGAAUUUUUCUCAUGAAGUUUUCGAAUCUCAGAUUUAUAAAACCUUAUAAAUUUUUAGCUAUGAGGAAUAUAGUUUUAUGUAUUUUUCUUAUUGAUAUAUCUUGUUGAUCAUUCCUUCUCUAAUACCCAUGUUCUUUAUAAUCAGGUUAUGGUGUUCGAAAUUUGUUCUAUAUGUGGAGAAUGGAAACUAAUAAAUGGAAUUCACUGGGAUUUCAUAGUGGAUGAUCAACGAGGAUCCUCUCUUAGUAUGAUUCAUGAAGAUAUCAGCUACAAUGAUUUGAUUGUGGCUGUUUUAGAAGAUUUUGGAAUUGAUGGCAACAGAAACAGUGUAAAUCUUAGCUAUGCCUCACCUUCAAAAUUAAACUUUGGUACAAAAGAGCUUCCUCCAGCAUUUAUUAGGAAUGAUCGUCAAGUAACAUCUUAUCUGAGCAAACUUAAGGAGAAUGGAGACCUUCAUCUAUGUGUAACCAUUAAGGUAACUGCAUGAAACUCUUUUGCUAACUUGUUUGUUUAUUAGAGUUAUCAUUUAUUUUAUAAGGUAGUAUGUAGUAGUAGUGAUUUGCUCAUUGCUUGAAGAAGUUUGCCAUAGCAGUAUCUAUUACAACUUUUACAUUUAUAAGACCUUAUAAUAAUAGUUGUGCAUUUUGCAGGAUCAUUACCAAAUAUAUUUUAACUAUUAGCUUUUAUGUUUUUUUUUUAAUGUUUCAGAGAAGAACUCAAUUAUCACCAAUGAUUAUGUCAAAUAUGAUCCAGCCACGGGGUGGAAAUAGUAAUCAUGAUUUGCCUAUUGCUGGAACUAGUAAUCCGCGUGAGGUAUUUAUUACAACUCUCAUUUUUAUAAGGCCUUGUAAAUGAUUAUAUAUUUAGCUUUAUCUUUUUAUGUUUCAUUACAAGAUUCAUUACUAGCUUUAUGUUUUUAUGUUUCAGACAGGAACACAAAAAUCACCAUUGAUUAUGUCAAACAUGAUUCAGACACAAGAUGAAAUUUCUAGUACUCAUGAUUCGCCUAUUGCUGGAAGUAGUAAUGUAUUUGAGGUACUUUUCAAAACUCUUACCUUAACAUUCAUAAUUAUAAUGUCUUAUAAAGGUAAUAAAUACAUGUUUAAUUUUCUAGAGAGGAACAAAAACACACGCGGAGACUGAAUGGAACAGCAUUCAGAGAGUUGACGAAGUCUCUGGUAUACAACAUACUUGUAUUAGCGACAGUCUUAUUUCUCCUUCAAGUGGUCUUGUUAGCAAUAAGGUACAUAUAACUUUUUCCUCUGUCAAAUAUAAAUAUAUGAGAGUUUAAUCAAUGUCUUAUAAUGGGUUAUAAAUUCUAUUUUUAAUGUAUAUGUUUCAUGUUUUUAUCUUAGAGAGGAUUGGACUCGAUUGGACUUGCUGUAUAUGGGUCUGGAAAGUCAAAAUUGCCAUCUUUCUCCAGUAGACGUGGUAGAGAAAGCAUGGGAGAAGAUAUCUUGUCUCCCAGUUGUGGUGAUGAUGAUGAUUUGUUCUGCGGGAAGUUUUUCAAGGAUAAAAAGGAAAUGAGCACAAAGUUGAGGUUGCAUGCAGUUAGUAAAAGCUUUGAGUUCCACACAGAAUAUUCAGACAAAACACGUUAUGUUCUUAGUUGUGUGGAUGAAAGAUGCAGUUGGAGUUUUCGUGCAAAAUCAGUUAAAGGAUCUCAGAGUUUUUUUGUUCGUCAUUAUGUAUCUAAACAUACUUGUGACACUUCUCUGAGAACUGUUAGUCAUCGGCAAGCUACUGCAAAAUUGUUGGGAACUAUGGUCAGCAAUCAUUAUGAAGGAGGAAAGAUUGGGCUGAAACCUAAACAGAUCAUGGAAAAAGCUAGAAAUGAUCAUGGUGUUGUGAUUACAUAUUCAAAGGCUUGGAGGUCUCAAGAGCACGGCCAAGAUAUAGCUAGGGGUACUCCUGAUGACAGUUAUGAAGCUUUGCCCAGUUGGUUUCACAUGAUAAAAGAAAAGAAUCCAGGUUCUGUGACUUUUAUCGAAGUUGAUGCUGUUGGGAAAUUCAAAUACGCAUUUUUGUCGCUUGGUCCAUCUAUCAGAGGGUUUAAGUUGAUGAGGAAGGUACUUUCUGUUGAUGGUGCCCAUCUGAAAUCAAAGUAUAAAGGGACUCUACUUGCUGCCACAGCACAAGAUGGUAAUUUUCACUUGUAUCCUAUAGCUUUUGCUAUAGUUGAUUCUGAGAAUGAAGCCUCAUGGAGUUGGUUUAUGAAAUGUCUGAAAACCAUCAUUCCUGAUGAAGAGGAUUUGGUUUUUGUCUCUGAUCGUGCGGCCUCUAUUGAAAAAGCUCUUUUACAACAUUAUCCUGUUGCUCACCAUGGAAUCUGCAUCUUUCACUUUCAAAAGAAUGUCCAGGACAAUUUCAAAAGUUCAACACUUGUCCCUUUGGUUGUUGAAGCUGGUUAUGCCUACACCAAAGCUGAUUUCGAUUGCUAUUUUCAAGAGAUUGAGGAGUCCGACAUUGUAUUAGCAGAUUAUCUUCGUAAAGCAGACUUCAGGAAGUGGACCCGAGCUUAUUCUCCUGCUAAUCGCUUCAACAUCAUGACGUCAAACUUGGCCGAAUCUAUAAAUUCUUUGCUGAAAGUGAGUCGUGAGUAUCCAAUUGUCUGUCUUUUUGACACUAUUAGGAUGAUAAUGACUAAGUGGUUCACUGAACGACGUGAGGAAGGAGUUCGUCACAUGCACCCUGUCACUGUCGAAGUGGGGAACAAGAUGAAGGAGCUAUAUGAUUUUACGUCUCGCUUCCUUGAAGUUUCCAAAAUCAAUGAUUCAGAGUUUGAGGUUAAGGGAGAUACAAGAGAUCAAGUGGUGAAUUUUCAAACAAGGCAUUGUUCAUGUUUUGUGUUUGAUAUUGAGAAGUUUCCUUGUGCUCAUGCAAUUGCCGCUGCAAAAUCUGGGAAUAAGCACGAAAAUGAUUAUGUCGAUGAGUUUUUCUCCAAUGAAAGGUCCGUUCUCUCAGCCAUUGUGGUAAUACAUCAGCACGUUUAUAUAUGUUUACAAAAUUGAUCAAAUUUAUAAGGUUUUAUAAAUAUUGUUCUACAACACUUCUUUUUCAUUUUUCUGUCUUUAUUGUACCUUUAUUUAAUUCUCUUAAUUUUCUUAUUAGGUUUACACUAGCAUAUUCAGAGAGUGUAUAUCCUGUUGGUGAUAAAACAUAUUGGGAUAUUCCUCCCCAUGUAGCUUCGUUUGUUUGUCGCCCUCCAUCUACACGCUUUCCUAGUGGGAGGAGGAAAAAAAAGAGGAUACCAAGUUCGUGGGAGUAUGGAAAAUAUCGGCCCAUAUCUAAACCAUCACCCAAGGCUUACAAAUGCAGCAGAUGUGGACAGAAAGGACACAACAAAGGUAGUUGUGUAAGGCCUAUUUGAUAACAGAGUAGUAUAAAAACUUGUGUGCAAUUGAUUAUUUUAUAUGAUGUUAUAAGAGAGAAUUGGAAUCGAAUAGAUUUUGGGGAACCUUUUACUAUUACAUUUUAUCGUUUUAUAAUGAUUUAUAAAGUUUACAGGUGUCUAAUAGAAGUUAUGUUCCUUUUAUUUUUACAUCUAUCAUUUUAUAAUGCUUUAUAAAUUUUGCAGGUGUCUAAUAGAAGUUAUGUUAUUUAUUAUACGAAAUGUGUGGUUACAUAAACUACCCUUUAUAAAUCAUUAGGAUUCAGAUUAAUUGUAGAAAUUAUAUGUUCGUUUGAUAUCUUAGCUUACUUGCAUGAACAUAAAUAAAAUAUGUUUCCUUAGCAAAGGUUUAAGGUACAAACCAAAAUAUAUUUUCCUCAUCAUGAAGGAUUAAGGGACAAGCCAAAAGAUGUUCCUCAUUGAAGACAUCAUCAAAAGAUAACACACUAAAACUGAAAAAGUUCCAUAGAUAUUUGUUAAAAGUACUAAAAAACUGAAAGAGCUUCAUUUCUUCAAAUUCGCGAUGCUUCUAAUCGGCAUUUUUAAGAUCUUCCAAAACACUUCCUAUCACAUCAUCAGCUGAAUCUUUCUCAAAUUGUUUCUUUUGUUUUUUCGAUUUGGGGGUGCCAACAUUGUGUUCCUUUAUAAGCAUAACAAUUAAGAAAAUCAGAAAUGAUAAUUGGAUGUAGUCAAUGAAAUUUGAAAGAAUAUUUUAUAAACCAUUAUACAUAGAGAGAUAUUUACCUUAUUUCCUCUUCCAUUCUUCUUUGUAAACUUCACGUGCUUUUUAGAUGCAUCCUCAUUCCCUUCUCCAUCCUUCAAUUUUAAUGACACAAUAAGUAAAGUUACAUAGAGCAUAUUAAACAUUUAAAAAGUCAAUCAGUUUAUAAAGACUUAUAAAUCAGCUUACUUCAUUGGUUUCUGCAUGAUCUUCUACUUGUUGUUGUACUUCACGUGGGGGUGUUACACCUUUCUUCUUUCCCUUAUAUUACAAGACAAAUAAAUAACUUAGCAAUUUCGAUUUUAAUAACAGCCUUUGUAAAUCAGAAAUGAUAAUCAGAAAGAACAUUUUAUAAACUAUUAUACACAGAGAGAUAUUUACCUUAGUUACUCUUUCACUUUUCCUUGUAACCUUCACGGGCUUUUCAUAUGCAUACUCAUUUUCUUCUCCAUCCUUCAAUUUUGAUGACACAAUAAAAAAAGUUACAUAGAGUAUACUAAACAACAUUUUAUAAAGCAUUAUACACAGAGAGAUAUUCACCUUAGUUCCUCUUUUACUUUUCCUUGUACCCUUCAUGGGCUUUUCAGAUGCAUCCUCAUUUACUUCUCCACCCUUCAAUUUUGAUGACACAAUAAAAAAAGUUACAUUGAUUAUACUAAACAGCAUUUUAUAAACCCUUAUACACUGAGAGAUAUUCACCUUAGUUCCUCUUUUACUUUUCCUUGUACCCUUCAUGGGCUUUUCAGAUGCAUCCUCAUUUACUUCUCCACCCUUCAAUUUUGAUGACACAAUAAAAAAAGUUACAUUGAUUAUACUAAACAGCAUUUUAUAAAGCAUUAUACACAGAGAGAUAUUUACCUUAGUUACUCUUUCACUUUUCCUUGUAACCUUCACGGGCUUUUCAUAUGCAUCCUCAUUUUCUUCUCCAUCCUUCAAUUUUGAUGACACAAUAAAAAAAGUUACAUAGAUUAUACUAAACAACAUUUUAUAAACCCUUAUACACUGAGAGAUAUUUACCUUUCUUCCACGUUUCUUUGAACCUUUCACGGGGUUUUCAGAUCCAUUUUCCUUAGCACCGACGUCAACAUCUGUAUUGACUUCUGUGUCAUCCUCUUGUUGUUGCUCCUCUUCCUCUUGUUUCUGUUCCUAUUUCAAUUAAAGGAUUACAUAUUUAUAAUGAUUUAUAAAUUUAAAACGAUUGUUCAGUUUAUAAAGAUUUAUAAAUCAGCUUACUUCAUUGGUUUCCGGAUUUUCACUCUCUUUAUCACCGUCGUCCACAUCGUCUUCUGUAUCCUCUUCUUCUUGUUGUUCCUCUUCUUCUUGUGGCUGUUCCUAUUUAAAAAAAAAAAGAUUACAUAUUCUUAAUGAUUUAUAAUUCUAUAACGGUUUUCAAUUUAUAAAGGGUUAUAAAUAAGCUUACUUCAUUGACUUCUGCGUCAUCCUCUUGGUGUUGUUCCUCUUCCUCUUGUGUCUGUCCCUAUUUCAAUAAAAGGAUUACAUAUUUAUAAUGAUUUAUAAAUUUAAAACGAUUGUUCAGUUUUUAAAGAUUUAUAAAUCAGCUUACUUCAUUGGUUUCCGGAUUUUCACUCUCUUUAUCACCAUCGUCCACAUCGUCUUCUGUAUCAUCUUCUUGUUGUUGUUCCUCUUCUUCUUGUGGUUGUUCCUAUUUUAAAAAAAAAUUACAUAUUUUUAAUGAUUUAUAAUUCUAUAACGGUUUUCAAUUUAUAAAGUGUUAUAAAUAAGCUUACUUCAUUGACUUCGACUUCUACAUCAUCUUCAUCUUGAUGUCCUACUUCACGUGGAGGUCUUACACCAUUCUUCUUUCUCUAAUAUUACAAGAAAAAAAACUAGCUUAGCAAUUUCGAAUUUAAUAACAACAUUAUAAAAUAUCAAAAAUAAAAUAACCUUAGCGAUUUCCUUUCUUUUGGCAUCUAUAUAAACUCCUAAAACUUCAUUUUCGUCAAGUUCAUAAUCGGCAUUCUGUCCAUUUACCUGAAAUAUUAUAUGUGAGCUCACACACAUUGUAUUAAGAAUAUGAAGACGUUAUAGAUAGCAAACCUUGGUUUUUGUGGCGGCUUCAGUUUCUUUUGACUUCUCAGUUUCCUGUUACAAGUUAGAAGCAUAUGAAUCUUUUUGUCAUUUACAACACGAAACAAAUAUAGAAAGUAGUUUACCUUCACAGUUUCUCCACGAAUGUUCAAAAGACCUUCAAGGUACUUCACUCUUUCUUCAAGAGACACUACCUUAUUAUUGAGGAAUUCAAUCUUUUCUUGAUCAGUUGCAUCAAUCCCAGGAACAGAAUUAUUUUCGUCCACUUCAGCUUCAGCAACGGCAAUGUCGACACUUCUAUUGAGCCAAUCUUGUCUCUUCAAACGAUAUCCUCUUUUGACAAGAUCAACAACUCUUCCAAAUUCACAGUCAACAUCUUCAACCAAGUCGCUAUGCAAUCCGGGAUCUCCAAGGAUACAUUUGACAUCAACCUGACAAGUGUUUGCAUAUGAUCAAACAAUCGGUAAAAGAAGAAUGCAAAGACUAAAACAGUUUUAUAAAACAUUAUAAACGGUUACCUUCUCCAUUUGGUCGAAUCUGUUAACCUCCUCAAUAGUAAGCGCUUUGGUUUCUUUCCAAUGCAAGCACAAGGGAAACUGAAUUCCAUCAUCGCUAAUACCAAAGAAUGUGCCUAGUUGAUUCACAGAAGAUAACGCCCAGAGCUGAAGCGCAUAUAUAAAGCCACAAAUCGCGUAUUGAUUAUUCUCCGUCAGCUUUGCAUAGGUAAAGCUCUUCACUUCUUUCAGUAAAUAAUCAAAGGCCAAAUUCCCCCAGGGAUACUUGCAAAACUCUUUGAAAUUUCUAGCUCUAAGCAGACGCUCUUCUGGAAUACUUGUCACCGGAUUGCUUGCCAUCAAUAUCCCUUCCACAAGGAUUGUAGCUCCCAAUCUUAAUCUCUGAUCAGCAGUAAGCUCUUUACUCUUUUCGACAAGAAGCUUAAGCAAGGUGUUUAGAGUUUGAUUCUUGUUCAUCCAUGGAUCUUUCUUCUUCUUUUUUGUUGCUGAAGUCUCGGCUUCAUCUUCAUCUUUAUCAACAACACACAAGGCAGACCCGUUGUCAAGUGGAAUUCUCUUAGAGAAAACCUCAUUAGUUGUUCUCCAAAAGUAAACCACAAACCCUUCUCGCCUAUAUCAAUUCUCCUUAAGAGUAAGUGAUGAAUCAAAUGCCUUGAAAACACCAUAAGCUUCUGCUUCCUUCCCAUCUUAAUUACCGGAGCCAAGAAUGAAUCUUCAAGCUUCUUGAAUUCUUUGCCCAAAAGGGUUUCAACUUUACCAACCAACUUCAGAUUGGAGCGCUUGUUAAUUCUUUGCAAUACGACUCCUUUUGUACCAGUUUCGGAGAUUCUUUUUGGCAAAGCAAUCUUGUCAUUAGACUCACUCAUCGUUUCACCUGAAACAAUUCAAAAUGGCAAUGUCAAAGAUAUGUUUUAUAAUGACUUAUAAAGGUUUUGUUUAUCAACACUUGUAAAUCAUAAUAGAUCAUUCUAAAAUCGAUUAACCACAUCAAAAACGAAAGAACUAGCAAUGAAAUAUAUCGCAAAUGACAGAGUGAGAAGAAGAAUCGCUAAGAAGAACCAAUAACAUUACCGGAGUUAAGAGAAAUCGAUGGUGAAAAGUAAGUUUUUGUAACCAAAGAAAUGUAGAACGGCGGAGUAUAAAUAGAGAUCAAAAGAUGCGCUUCAGCUCUGUAUCAGAAGAGACGCGAACGGAGGAAGGCGAUGAAAAGUCCCGACUUUUUACCCUAAUUCGUGACGGUUUUAUUUUUUUUACACUAAGGCCCAAUUUCGAUUAUCAAUGUUUAAGGCCCAAGUUUAUUUAUGGUUUAAUGCUUAGAAAACGGUUUUAUAAACUAUUAUAGAUUAACAAGCUUCUGCAAAAUAUUUAUAUGCUUUUUAAAAAAUUUUAUUAACCCUUAUAAAUUAUUAUAUAGAGAUUCAUAAGUCUUUAUUAAUUAUUGUCAAAAUUUGUAAAUCAUUUUAUACAGAUUUAUAAAUCUUUUAAAAUUGUUUAUAGGUCUUUAUAUAUUACCUUAUUUUUAAAUCUUCAUAAAACCUUAUAAGCCCUUCAAAAUAAUUGUCAAAAUUUUAUAUAGAUUUAGAAGCCCUUGUAAACUAUUUAUUGCUCUUAUAAACUACACAUAUUUGUAAGUCUUUAUAAAUUAUUUAUAGGCUUUUAUAAAUCAUAAUCUACAUUUUACCUCGUGGAAUCUCUUGAGGGUCUAUGAUUGGAGUGGCUACAUCAUCCAUCAUAUCUUCUGAUUCAUGAGGUAAUGGUAACUCCUUUCCCUACACAUCAUUAGUAAAAAUAUAUAGUUUAAAGAUAAGAAAAAGAAGCCUAUGAGAACACAUAUAUAGGUGAUAGUCUAAAACUUACAUAUAUGGUUUCAUGGUUUUGUGUUUCAGCCUCAGUGGCUUCUAAAACAGAAGUGUUUCUGUGUCUCUCGAGAGAGGAUGUGAUUUCUGUGGCAUCAUCAUUCACCUUAUCCUCUUCAUUGGAUUCUAAAACAAGUGUGAUACUAGGGCUCUCUUGAUCGGAUCUGAUUUUGGUGGCAUCAUCAUUCAACGUAUCAUCUUCAUCGGUGGCAAGUGUGUUACUAGGACUAUCUUGACCGGGUCUGAUUGGUGUGCCAGCAUUAUUUUCAAAUUCUCUCUGCAAAAAUGGUGUAGGAAGAUUUUAAAUUGCACCAAAAAUGAAUACAAAUUAUGUGUGAGAAAAUACCUCAUGUGCGCGAAUCCAACUACCACCACCUAGCCACUCCAUUGACAGCCUAAUCUCAGUAUAAUUAAAAACCGCAUCCUCUUUUGUGGCAGCGAAAUACACUUUGUAUUUGUUUUCAAGGAGAAUUUCCGUCACUCGACCUUUGCGCCACCCAUGGGUAACAACCACUUCAACAUAGUCGUUCAGACUGUACUCUGCACAAAGAUCUCGAGGAGGAGAUGGCCUUAUUUUGCAAAUAUCAACUAUUAAAUGUUUUCCUUCCGCUUCAUCACUCGAAUUUUGUGAGAUUGUACAUCUUUUGAUCAGAAAUUUUCUUCUAUCAUCUCCUUGUUUCCGAACUUCUGUAAUUACCAAUGCUCGGACCCAAAUUUUUUCCUUUUCACUUUCACUAAUUUCACGGUCAUUUCCCACCAACUUCCCUCUCGUAAACAUGUGUUGACUCAAUACCUUCAAUUCCAAAACAAUCAUAUAUAAGCUAAAGCCCUCAAACAUUCAAAAUUUUAUAACUUAAAACAUACAAAAAAAAACAAUACCUUGUUUUUGCUUUUGACCCAUUUGGAGCCGAUCCAAUCAGCAUGAGGUCUCAGUUGGCUUCUGAUGAAUCUCAUUAUGUCUGGUGGAUCAUCAAAGUAAACCAAAAACUACCAUCUGGCCUUUCAACUACGAUAACACCAGUCCACCAACCAUUAUUAAAAUAAGCAUCCACCACCGACCCUUCCUUGAAUACGACACCCUCAUUCAGACACUCUGGCGGGACUGGCCGAAUAAAACUUCUUUCAAUAGUUUCCUUCAAAGGACUUACACCAUCUUCGUUGAACAUAGUUUUGUAACUAACCCGAAGCUUUUUUCCUGUUACUCUCGUCGGAUUUUGCUCGAGGAUAGCUCUAUACCAAGAACCUCUGAACCCAUCUUCUUGAAUAGAUACUUCUACUUCACAAUCUUUGGCAAUAGACAAAAGUUUUCCUUUUUUCUUCAAAUUAUUUUUCAUCUUCCUGAGGAGGAAUCGGAAAUGCAGAUCACAAAAAAAAAUCAAGAAAAGAAAGAAACUAGGUGAAUUAAGAUCAAAUGAACGACAUGCAUCCAAGAAACUGAAACAAAUUGAGAUUUUAGAUAAAUCAAUUAGGUUCCAUACAAAAAUUCAAUUCGAUUUUGGAGUGUAUAUACAAAAGCAAAUAGGAAUUUCAAUUUGAUCUAAAUUGAAUAUAAAAAAUCAAAAGAGAAUACAGUGAAUGUUCUUGAAUUAACUUUUGCUAAAUUCGAUUCAAGUUGAAUUGGAACUGAAACUGAAACAGAUUGAGAUUUUAAGUCAAUCAAUUAGGUUUCAAACAAAAAUUCAAUUCAAUUUAGAUUGUUGAUUCAAAAAUGAAGAUGAAACUCAAUUACCUUUUGCCACGAUAAUGAUUCAAAAUGGGGAAGAUUGUUGUGUUGAUUCUUCUUCUUGAAAUUUACGGACAUAGAGAAACGAUGAAGAAAUGAUAGAAAACAAGAAAGCAAAAAAAAAACGUGUCAUAGUGAAGAAGAUGAAGACGUGUCGCGUGAGAAGAGUUAAAUUUACUGGUUUUGCCAUCCCUUUUUGGUAAAUGAUAAAAAAANNNNNNNNNNNNNNNNNNNNNNNNNNNNNNNNNNNNNNNNNNNNNNNNNNNNNNNNNNNNNNNNNNNNNNNNNNNNNNNNNNNNNNNNNNNNNNNNNNNNAACAAUCGGCGCUUUGAGUUUGUCCGUUUGUGUCGUCUGUGUCGAUCGUGAUCUGUAACAAGCCCUCAUUAGCACCCUUGGCUUCACCUUCGGUAAAACCCUUUUUCAACUUUUGCGUGUUUCAGGCUCCUUUGAUUAGUAUACUAUGAGCGGAUGAGUUAAAGGAUAGGUUAGAGAUCAUUUUACUUGAUAUUAUAUUUGGAAUUGUUAGGUGAUUAUCUUUUUUCCCGUUAUGGUUAUAUGCCUAGAUGAUUGUAAAUGUUUAAGAAAGUUUUCUAUCUUUGGUAUAAUGUUUAAACACUUUAGACGUUCCUUUGACUUUAAACGGUGUUUGUGUGUCCCCAAAAAUUUGGAUUUCUCUGGUUACUUUAUUAGUUGUUUGUUUACUUUAGCACUUUACAUCGGCUGUUCUUAUGUAGUAUUAGACUGAAGUUAUUAAAAAGAUACAGUUAUGUUCGUAUUAAUUACUCUUGUACUUACUCUUGAAGUCAUUUGGUCAUCAUUGUUCUUAAGCUAUCUGUACUUACUCUUGUUAUUAUUUUUACGUACAGCGACUACUUUGACAAGUUGGCAUCUAUUGGUCACGUUUUGUUCCCUUCAUGUGGCACUAUGGAUGAAGAUGUUUGAACACAAGCCUUUCGAUCCACGAGCUGUGAUGGGAUUUGGCAUAUUGAAUGGGAUAUCCAUUGGACUAUUGAACCUCAGCCUGGGCUUUAACUCCGUUGGUUUUUACCAGGUAAUAAAAGCUUUCUCAUUCUAGCUGCUACAUGAUGAUAUAUCCUUGCAGUCUGUGUGUUUCAAACCCCGUCUCUUCUCUCUGUUGGUAUUAGAUGACAAAGCUAGCAAUCAUCCCCUGUACUGUUCUCUGGAGACUCUCUUCUUCAGGAAAAAGUUCAGGUUAGCACUCAAAGUUCUCUCACUUGCUUUUUGUGCAUUUCUGUUAAAGAUGAGUGAUUGUUACUUUGGAGGAUACUAUCUAUGUUCUACUUUUCUAUGCUAUAACAGUUCAGCAACUUAGUGAUAGUCUUAUGUCCCUUUGUGAUGAUAAUUCGUCCUCAGAAUUUUCCAUGGCUCAACGAGUUUCUCAAGCUAGUCUCUGGUCAAAGGCAUAGUUAAUGACACGCUUCUUUGUUUUGUUGCAGCCGAAAAAUUCAGUUUUCAUUAACCAUCCUUCUUCUUGGUGUUGGAAUUGCAACCGUCACAGAUCUUCAGCUUAAUAUGCUGGGUUCUGUCUUGUCGCUGCUGGCUGUUAUCACAACCUGUGUCGCUCAAAUUGUAUCCUAUGCUUAGCCGUUCUUCUCCCAUUGCUCUUUUCUUUCAAUAAUCUUAUGCCAAUUCGAUGCUGUUAUCUUUAACCAAUUGUACACAGAUGACAAAUACCAUCCAGAAGAAGUUCAAAGUUUCAUCCACGCAGCUUCUUUAUCAGUCUUGCCCUUAUCAAGCAAUCACACUUUUCGUCACUGGACCAUUUUUAGAUGGGCUCCUAACCAACCAGAACGUGUUUGCUUUCAAGUACACUUCUCAAGUUGUGGUAAGACUCAACCUGCGAGGGAUUCUACCCAUAUUAUUUUCUUUCGACAUAUAUUUACAUGUUCUUCUUUGUUUACUGCAGUUUUUCAUCGUCCUGUCCUGCAUGAUAUCAGUCUCUGUAAACUUCAGCACUUUUCUGGUCAUUGGGAAAACGUCUCCGGUCACAUAUCAGGUUCUGGGACAUCUGAAAACAUGCCUGGUUCUAGCAUUUGGAUACGUGUUGCUGAAGGACCCAUUCAACUGGCGCAACAUUCUUGGUAUUAUGGUGGCUGUGAUAGGAAUGGUUGUUUAUUCCUAUUUCUGCUCGGUUGAGACUCAGCAGAAGGCAAGUGAAACAUCAACCCAAUUGCCUCAGGUAUAUUUCCUCUGGCUAAUAGCUAUAUAUAGCUUAAUACUAUUGAAUGCGUGACACCAAUAAAUAUAUAUCCCUGGUCCUUGUUAAAAAUAGGAUUCACCUACAUCUCUCGUAUGACUUAUACAACAGAAACCCUUUUCUCCAUGAUAAAAGAAACAAUUAGAUGAUUCACGUGAAUCAGAUUUCGUUUAUGGUACUAUUGAUUUUUCAGUAAGACUGCUAUCAGAGAAGCAAACCGUAUCCUAGGCAUUGUUUUGGUUGGUAAAGGUCUAUAGCUUACAUUGGUGGUGAACAAGAAAGAAAAAAAGAAACUGAUGUUACUUUGUUGGGUUUGGCAGAUGAAAGAGGGCGAGAAGGAUCCGUUAAUAGCAGCUGAAAAUGGAAGCGGAGUGUUAUCAGAUGGUGGUGCGGGUGUGCAAAAGACGACAGCUCCUGUAUGGAACUCAAAUAAAGAUUUUCAAGCCUAAAAAACUGAACACUGCUAUUUUUUUUCCUUAUAUAUAUAUAUAUCAAACUCUAUUUUGUUAUCAGAUUUGUCAGAAGAAAGGAAAAACUUUUUUUUAAUUCCUCUUGUUGUUUGUUUGUUUGUUUGUUCUCUUUUAAAGAUCUCAUAGCUAUAGCUUUCCACACCGUAUAUAAGUAGAGAGAAAAGGGAACAUACCUUUGAUGAUUCAAUCUAUAUUCCAAAGUUAUGGCUAUAUUCAUCAUCACUGGAAAGUGUAUUUGAUUUUCACACAUGCGCCACUCAGUUUUUCCUCACCAAUUUCUUGUUUUUUCCUCAUUCCAUAUUGACCAAGUUAAUAAAAUCAUUCAUUAUAGUAUCAUAAACAUUAAAGCACCAGUGGUCUAGUGGUAAAAUAGUACCCGGCCACGGUACAGACCUCAUGAUAUCGCCUCAUACUGAGCUCAUCUAUUCAAUUUAUAAGUUCAACUAAAUUUGAAGGAAUUGAAGUUUCCAUUAAAUUCUUCUAUUAUCCAAUUAUAUGUUUCAUAAAUUCUUUUAAAUUUGUAUUUUAAAUAAUUUUUCUAAAAUAUUUUAGAAUCUAGUGUUAUUCAGUUCAAUAAUUAUCUAAAUCUAUUAAAUAUUUGUGUUAUUCAAUUUUGGUGGAUUUCAUGAUAAUUGUAUUUGAAAAGAAUUUGAUGAAAAAUAAUAAUUAUAAAAUGUAAAGAAGCAAUUCUAAGGUUUGAGUUAGGAUUUGAAGAGAAUUCUUUAUAGCAUUUAUUUAUUAGAUAUGUAUGUCAAACUUAUUGAUAUGAUGAAUUUGGAAAUGUAAUAUUCGUUAUUAAUUUAUAUUAUCGUUUUAACGAAAUGACAAAGUAUAUCAUUUGAUGUAAUCCAUAUUAUAAAGUGGAAAAAAACUUUUUUAAUAUUAUAUAUAAUUUUAUUAUAUAAAAAUAAUUGGCUUUAUUUUUUUUUUCUAAGUAGAGUCGUUAUUUCACUUUUAAAUGACUUUGUCUGUUUAUAUAGUAUGAAAAAUGACUUUGUCUGUUAAUAUGGUAUGAAAAUAAUUAUGGUAUUAUUAUUUUAUCAGCAAAAGUUUUGUUUUUUCCCUGUGCAUUUUAUAUAAAGAUUCAAAAAAUUCAUGAAAAUUUAUAUGAAUUGUUUCCUAUCAAAUUUAAUUAUAUUUCUUUAAAAUCUAAAAUGAAAGAAUUAGACAAAUACAUUAAAAUCAUCAUCAAAUCAUUUGAAAUACUUCAAAAUCUAUCAUUUAUGUCUUCAAUUGAAUUCUUUCAAAGUCAAUUAAAUUCUUGAAUCCAAACCAACUCCUAAAAGUUUUCUUUUAAAACAAAAUUAAGAUAGCAAAAAAAAAGUAAAGUUAUGAUUGUUAUAUUCAAACUAGAAUUAGUAAUAAAAACAGAUUUACCUUUUAUCUUCCUCUACGCAUUUCUUCCAAGUCUCAUCGCCACUAGACCAACAUGCUUCCAAACAUUUUGAAAAACUUUGAAUAUUUUUCAAGCAGGCAAUAUGUUUUGUUUGUGCUUUCUUGUUGUGACCUGCUUGUGUGUGUAUAUAGUAUCACAUUGCUUGGAGAAGAUGCUUGUAUGUUUUUCUUUUUUUUUCUUUUUUUUCGUAUUUCAGCAUGAAGGGGUGCUAACACCUGUACUCAGCGCUAUUAUAGUAUUACUAGGUUAAGCUGUGAUCAUGUUGCUAACCGACUGGUUUUUUCGUUAUUGGCAAGCAGACUGUCUUUGCUUUUCCUUAAGCGGCUAAUCUGUUUUGGCCUUUUAUGAAUCCUUUGUAUAUGGAAUUCUUAGGGUUUUGGUUUGAGGAAAUGACAUUGGUCGUGUUUGGUAUGAAAUUCGGUUUGUUAUUUUAUUUAUUAACUUGGUUCGAUUUUAUUUUCAAAUUCCCAUUUAAAAAGAAUUUUUUUUACAUUUCGGUUAUUGCCAGAUUUGCUCUUAAUUAUUUUAGUUUGUUGGUUUAACCAAUAUAAAAUAACCAAAAAUAUAGCCAAUAAUGAAUGUUUUGCGGAUCAGUUUUUCCAUCCAAACUAAAUUUAAGUUGUCCACAUAAAAUUAUGGUUCGGUUUCGCUUAGUUUAAUGGUCAGGCCCUAAACCAUGGAGUCUCCACUUUUUUUUUCAAGAUUUUUUUAAUGGAUUUUUUUUUUGGUGUGGUUUUUAAUGAAAGAAGUCUUCAUCAUGGUUUCCAAACUAAACCAUGCUUGAUCGGUUUCCUUGAUCAAGCUUGAGGGGGAGUGUUGAGAUGAUAUGUACUUGUUGAGAGAAAUGCAGUGAAAUGUAUAAAGUGCAGCGUGGUGCAAUGAAGUGUAAGAAAAGAGAAACAUAUCAGGACAUGUUGGCAUAAACUCUCAAAUUCAACUAUCGAAUAAAAUCUCAUCGAAACCUGCAAAAAGUUAUUUAAUUUUGUUAGCAAUUGUACGAUAUCAAAUAAUUUAAUAUAAAAAUAAUUGGCUUUUAUUUUUUUUUUCUUAGUAGAGUCGUUAUUUCACUUUUAAAUGACUUUGUCUGUUUAUAUAGUAUGAAAAAUGACUUUGUCU
rnacentral:lncRNA from 1 species